rnacentral:rRNA from 1 species
CUACGGGGUGCUGCAGUGGGGAAUAUUGGACAAUGGGGGCAACCCUGAUCCAGCCAUGCCGCGUGUGUGAAGAAGGCCUUCGGGUUGUAAAGCACUUUAAGUGGGGAGAAAGGUUCGGUAGCUAAUAUCUGCCGGAAUUGAUGCUACCCACAGAAUAAGCACCGGCUAACUCUGUGCCAGCAGCCGCGGUAAUACAGAGGGUGCAAGCGUUAAUCGGAAUUACUGGGCGUAAAGCGCGCGUAGGCGGCUGCCUAAGUCGGGUGUGAAAGCCCCGGGCUCAACCUGGGAACUGCACUCGAUACUGGGCGGCUAGAGUAUGAGAGAGGGAGGUAGAAUUCCACGUGUAGCGGUGAAAUGCGUAGAUAUGUGGAGGAAUACCGGUGGCGAAGGCGGCCUCCUGGUUCAAUACUGACGCUGAGGUGCGAAAGCGUGGGGAGCAAACAGGAUUAGUACCCUGGUAGUC